rfam:Salmo salar isolate Sally breed double haploid chromosome ssa23, whole genome shotgun sequence.
CCCGCUGAAUUUAAGCAUAUUACUAAGCAGAGGAAAAUAAACUAACCAGGAUUCCCUCAGUAGCGGCGAGCGAAGAGGAA